rnacentral:ncRNA from 2 species
AGCGCGCAUCGUGGCGAUUUGUUACCGGAUUGCGGGCCACGUUAAACAUGCCGCUAAAGAGGUCUCGGGCGCAGACCC